rnacentral:rRNA from 1 species
CCUACGGGCGGCAGCAGUGGGGAAUAUUGGACAAUGGGGGCAACCCUGAUCCAGCCAUGCCGCGUGUGUGAAGAAGGCCCUCGGGUUGUAAAGCACUUUCAGUGAGGAAGAACGCCUGGUGGUUAAUACCCAUCAGGAAAGACAUCACUCACAGAAGAAGCACCGGCUAACUCCGUGCCAACAGCCGCGGUAAUACGGAGGGUGCGAGCGUUAAUCGGAAUUACUGGGCGUAAAGCGCGCGUAGGUGGCUUGAUAAGCCGGUUGUGAAAGCCCCGGGCUCAACCUGGGAACGGCAUCCGGAACUGUCAAGCUAGAGUGCAGGAGAGGAAGGUAGAAUUCCCGGUGUAGCGGUGAAAUGCGUAGAGAUCGGGAGGAAUACCAGUGGCGAAGGCGGCCUUCUGGACUGACACUGACACUGAGGUGCGAAAGCGUGGGUAGCAAACAGGAUUAGAUACCCGAGUAGUC